rnacentral:tRNA from 1 species
AAAGAUUUAGUAUAUGUUUUUUUGAGUAUUAUUUGUUGUCUGCAAAUAGGAUUUGAUCUUUU